rnacentral:piRNA from 1 species
UGGCUCCUGCUGAUGUUUCUGUGCAC